AACGCUGGCGGCGUGCUUAACACAUGCAAGUCGAGCGAAGCACUACGCUUUAAGUAUUCUUCGGAAGAUUAAUUGUGGUGACUUAGCGGCGGACGGGUGAGUAACGCGUGGGUAACCUACCUCAUACAGGGGGAUAACAGUUAGAAAUGACUGCUAAUACCGCAUAAGACCACGGUAUCGCAUGAUACAGUGGUAAAAACUCUGGUGGUAUGAGAUGGACCCGCGUCUGAUUAGCUAGUUGGUAAGGUAAUGGCUUACCAAGGCGACGAUCAGUAGCCGGCCUGAGAGGGCGACCGGCCACAUUGGGACUGAGACACGGCCCAAACUCCUACGGGAGGCAGCAGUGGGGAAUAUUGCACAAUGGAGGAAACUCUGAUGCAGCGACGCCGCGUGAAGGAAGACGUAUUUCGGUAUGUAAACUUCUAUCAGCAGGGAAGAAAACGACGGUACCUGACUAAGAAGCCCCGGCUAACUACGUGCCAGCAGCCGCGGUAAUACGUAGGGGGCAAGCGUUAUCCGGAUUUACUGGGUGUAAAGGGAGCGUAGACGGUAAUGUAAGUCUGAUGUGAAAUUCCGAAGCUCAACCUCGGGUGUGCAUUGGGAAACUAUGUUACUAGAGUAUGGGAGAGGUAAGUUGGAAUUCCUAGUGUACCGGUGAAAUG
rnacentral:rRNA from 1 species